rnacentral:rRNA from 1 species
CCUACGGGAGGCAGCAGUGGGGAAUCUUCCGCAAUGGACGAAAGUCUGACGGAGCAACGCCGCGUGAGUGAUGACGGCCUUCGGGUUGUAAAGCUCUGUUAAUCGGGACGAAAGGCCUUCUUGCGAAUAGUUAGAAGGAUUGACGGUACCGGAAUAGAAAGCCACGGCUAACUACGUGCCAGCAGCCGCGGUAAUACGUAGGUGGCAAGCGUUGUCCGGAAUUAUUGGGCGUAAAGCGCGCGCAGGCGGAUCAGUCAGUCUGUCUUAAAAGUUCGGGGCUUAACCCCGUGAGGGGAUGGAAACUGCUGAUCUAGAGUAUCGGAGAGGAAAGUGGAAUUCCUAGUGUAGCGGUGAAAUGCGUAGAUAUUAGGAAGAACACCAGUGGCGAAGGCGACUUUCUGGACGAAAACUGACGCUGAGGCGCGAAAGCCAGGGGAGCGAACGGGAUUAGAUACCCCAGUAGUC